CAUCAUUGUAGUGUAAGUGAUUGGCCUAACUCUCAAGUCCGAGCAAAACACCUCAAAUAAAAUACAUUAGGUCAGGGAUUUUUUCAAUAUGUGGUCCGGGUCCAACCCUGCAAGUCACAAAGAGGAUUCCAGAGGGAGCUCCAUGACAAAAAUAAAAAGCCUGUAAACUGAAGCCAAGGAGGACUGUAGCUGAAUGACCCAUCGAGCUUCACUGGAACUUGAGGUCUCCUGUCCCCUCCUUACGCAACUUCGCUGGUGAGCCGUCUGCUGCACCUCACCUACCCAGCUGAAUUCCCCAAGACCUAACCCAACCCUUCACACCUGCCACGCCAUGAGGGAGCUACACUGCUGCACUCCUUACUUUGUUGUACAAAGAAAAAUAAAGCACCCACCUUAGUGGGUUUUCACUGCAA